GAGGGUGUAGCUCAAUGGCAGAGUGCGUGCUUAGCAUGCACAAGGUCCUGGGUUCAAUCCUCAGUCCCUUCA
rnacentral:tRNA from 1 species